AGAGAAUAGGGUAUCUAGACCCCACACACGCCACUCGGUAGAAAGACUUGGGCCUAUAGCUCAGCUGGCUAGAGCACACGACUGAUAAUCGUGAGGUCAGUGGUUCGAGUCCACUUGGGCCCACCAAAUGGGGCUGUAGCUCAGCUGGGAGAGCACCUGCUUUGCAAGCAGGGGGUCACCGGUUCGAUCCCGGUCAGCUCCACCAGAUGUUCUGGUGGAAAGGCAGCCUGCCCAAGGGUGGGGGCCAGUGGUAGGAGAGGUUGGGUAGGUAGUGGAGAAGGGAUGGAGAGUCUCUUGUGCACUACGUACCGGAAGGUGCGGUAGUAUUGUUCUUUGACAAUGGAAGAAGGGAAGGCCGUUGCCAGGUUCUGGGACUUGGUAGCGAUCUCGCGAAGGUAUUGCGGGAUAUAUGGUCAAGUGAAUAAGGGCAUACGGUGGAUGCCUUGGCGGAAACAGGCGAUGAASGACGUGGGCACCUGCGAAAAAGCCUCGGGGAGCUGGUAAACGAGCUGU
rnacentral:misc_RNA from 1 species